GGGGGCAGGAGGGGCUCAGGGAGAAAGUGCAUGCAGCCCCUGGCCCUCUCUGCCCUUCC
rnacentral:pre_miRNA from 1 species